rnacentral:rRNA from 1 species
GACAGAGGGUGCGAACGUUGUUCGGAAUUAUUGGGCGUAAAGAGCUCGUAGGCGGUUUGUUGCGUCGGCUGUGAAAUUCCGAGGCUCAACCUCGGGUCUGCAGUCGAUACGAGCAAACUAGAGUGUUGCAGGGGAGACUGGAAUUCCUGGUGUAGCGGUGAAAUGCGCAGAUAUCAGGAGGAACACCGGUGGCGAAGGCGGGUCUCUGGGCAACAACUGACGCUGAGGAGCGAAAGCGUGGGGAGCGAACAGG